rnacentral:rRNA from 1 species
GUAGGUGGCAAGCGUUGUCCGGAAUUAUUGGGCGUAAAGCGCGCGCAGGCGGUCCUUUAAGUCUGAUGUGAAAGCCCACGGGCUCAACCGUGGAGGGUCAUUGGAAACUGGGGGACUUGAGUACAGAAGAGGAAAGCGGAAUUCCAAGUGUAGCGGUGAAAUGCGUAGAGAUUUGGAGGAACACCAGUGGCGAAGGCGGCUUUCUGGUCUGUAACUGACGCUGAGGCGCGAAAGCGUGGGGAGCAAACAGGAUUAGAUACCCUGGCAGUCCACGCCGUAAACGAUGAGUGCCAAGUGUUAGGGGGUUUCCGCCCCUUAGUGCUGCAGCUAACGCAUUAAGCACUCCGCCUGGGGAGUACGGCCGCAAAGGCUG